rnacentral:rRNA from 1 species
UACGUAGGGGGCGAGCGUUAUCCGGAAUUACUGGGCGUAAAGCGCACGCAGGCGGUUCGCCAAGUUUGGAGUGACAGUUGUCGGCUCAACCGACAAAGGACUUCAAAAACUGGUGAACUUGAGGACGAGAGAGGAACAUGGAACCCCAGGUGUAGUAGUGAAAUGCGUAGAUAUCUGGAAGAACACCAAUGGCGAAGGCAAUGUUCUGGCUCGUUUCUGACGCUCAGGUGCGAAAGCCAGGGGAGCGAACGGG